UUUUUUUUUUUGUUAGCAUUAGUAUUGCUUUGAUUUUGAAUUGAACUUUAUUAGAGUUACAAAUAUCUAUUGACUAUAACCUUUCUUGGAUCAUUCAAAAUUCUAAGGGGUCGUUCGGUAUGAAGAUUCAUAACGCAUAGAUUAGUAAUGGAGGGAUUAGUAAUGCAGGGUUAUGUAGUGCAGGGAUUAGUAAUGCAGGGUUUAUUUUUAUCAAGUGUUUGAUUCAUUUUUUCCACCUCAUCUUGUGUUUGGAUUAUAGCUCUAUAAAAAAAAUUCUUUCCAAUUAUACCCUUGAAUUAUUAUGUAAUUGGAUCAAGGUAGAUAAUUGUCGAACAAUAUUAUUUUUUUAUAACCUUCUAACUAGCUAUGAGAAGAACAAUUUAGUUGUCCUGUUUGUUAUUUUUUUACUUGAAUUAUUUGAGAGUAAAUAAGUGUCAUCUUAAUAAAUUGAUCACUCACAAAAGGUUAUUUUUUAAUUAAAAAAGAUAAAUCAUCUAUUUUUAAAAUUGAAAAAAGGGUCAACAAUGGUAAAAUUGAAUAAACCAUCUAUAUGUACACAUAAAAUUGCAAGUUUUAGUUUUAAUAUGUAUGUAAAUUUUUCAAAUUGUUUAAACGGACAUGCGCACGCGCGCACCCACCCACCCACCCACAUAUACACACAUACACACACACACACAUUUUUCAUUUAUUGAGAUAGCCGCGUGAUCCCACCAGUAUAUUGUGGUUGUGUAAGAACUACACUUGCACUUAUUCUGUUGAGUACAUGACAUCUUCUGGUGGCUAUUGACAGGCAUUGUUUAGAAGAUCAGUGACCAUUUUAUUUCCAAGGGUAAGUCAAUUCUUCCGAGCUGCUUUGAGUUCUCUUUUGUUUAAAUCCACUCUUUUCGGACAGAGACUAAUUGUUCAAGGUGUGUUUAGUUUUAGAGUUGUACCUCUUGUUCUUAGACUUGUUGUUCGUAGAGUUUUGAUACAAUGACUUUCAGGUUCUAGGGGUAGUAUUUACGUAUACGUGUUAGUUCAUUUGUAUAGUUCCUUGAUAAUUUAUUUUAGUAUUUAAAACUGCUUUUGUGUCAUUAAUUGUCUCAGUUUUGGUUUAGUUGCUUAGUUUAGGUUGUAGUAGUGGUCCUCCCACCAGAUAGUUAGUGUGGGUGUUAAAUCACGACGGUUUAGAUCGUGACAAAAGAUUAGAAAAGUCAAUUUUAAAUAAAAAUAUUAUGAUGAGAAAAAAAUAUUGGGACUCCUCUCUUAAGUUUUGCUUUAAGCCCCUUAUCUUGUUGAGUCGACCCUGGUCUCUACGAGAGCAUUCUUUGGCCCUUGAUACUAGUUUAGGUCUUCUCAUGUCUCUGGAUCCCUCUUACUCCUUGCUUUCCUUUCGUGAUGCUAAUUGGACUUUGCAUAUUGAUUCCCCAGAUUCAUUAGUGGAUACUCUAUCAGAAUUAGGUGGGUCUUACACACUUAUGUUGUGGAAAUCCAAAAAAAAAAUAAGUGUCUAUUUUGUUAAGAUAUGACACCUGACCCAACUCAAGUUCAUAAGCUAUAUUUUCAUGAGGAGAAGAUUGCUCGAAUUUAUAUAAGGAGACCACUAGUCCAUUUCUCAAUAAAUGUGAGACCUUUAACCAUUCUAACACCUCAUUUCAUUCCCAUACACACGUGAUGACAUAUGGAUCGAGAGCUCAAACGAGGAUGAACCUGACUCUGAUAUCAUAUAAAAAUAUGGCACAUGGGCCUAACUCAACCCAAAUAGCAAGCUCAUGAAGCGGGAAGUUUUCCAUUUUGUAUAAGGAGACCUAUAAUGACCUAGUUGGUCAUUUUUGGGUUCAUAAAUUAUCAUUCUGCCCCUCUCGAUAUUGACUCCGAGUUAAUUUUAAUUGAGUUUUGAAUGAUAGUUUCAAACUUUGAGAAAAAAGUUGUGAAUUUUUUUAAGUUUUGAACUUGAACGACUAAAGUUGUUAAAAAUAAUUUUUGGUGUAUUUUGGAGUUUCGAGUAUCGAAAUAAAAUUUUGUCAAUGCCAUCAGUCUUGAAAUGUGAAAUUGGUCUAAGAGAGUUGUUGGUUUCAUAUUCGGAGUCUUUUAAGGAUUUGAGGUCCUAAAUUGAAAUUUUGUGAAAAUUUAAUCUUUGGAUUGACUUCGAUUUGCGUUCAAGGUUUGGAUGCACAGAUCAAAAUUUCGAGAGUUCCGUUUGAUUCGAGGAAUAAUGUUAGGUCUAAGUGAGGUCUUGAUUGAAUUUUCAGAGGUUCUAGACCUUAUUUGACCUUUUUAGGCGUUAUAUUAAUUCUUUGUGGCUUUCACAAGUUUCGAAUCAAAGAUACCUCAAAUUCCUUCUUUGAUGGUUCAUCAAGUCUGGAACGCCGGGUAUAGUCAAUUUGCAUAUAUUAUUUGUGUGUACUGAAUUACGAAUCUUUAGGAUCUUUUCGAUUAUUUUUGUGUUGGCUGAUUUGCUAAGGUUUGAUAUUAACUACCCCUCGCUAUUGCGAUAGGAUGUUCGCUUUCACGAACCUCGCGAUUGAGAAAUUCUGAUCGUGAAAGCGAGAUAGGUGGAAUUCCAGACCUUCGAUCGCAAAGGGCUUGUUCACGAUUGCUAUCUUCGUGAAUGUGAAGGCUCUGCAAAGGCGAAGGCCGAGUUGGAAAGAAAAUUCAAAUAGUUUUAUUUGAUAGGUUAUGAGUCACGUAACUAUUUAAAUUCAAAGACAAAUGGCCGUUUGAAGUUAACCCAAGUAGAAUCUUAAAUCUAAAGUUAAUUGGUAGGUAUGCUUUUAACUUAACUCAACUUUGUGCUAAGGAAUUCUAUUGACCUUAAUUCAUAUCAAAAUUCAUUUUCACACUAAAGAAUUGAGUUUUACAUAUGUUGACAAAUUUAAGAAACACCCAAUACGAUUUUAAAUGUAAAUGAAGAAAAGUUCGAGUCUUAGAAUUUUGGGUUGACGUAUCAAUAUUAACAAGGUUACAAAGGAAGAAAUACAUAGAAGUUUAUCUUUGUCUGUUCCUUACAACUUGGGUCGGGUUCAUGUUAUUCCAGUAUUGGACUUGGUCAAGUUUAUUCUCAAAUAGUCCACACAAAACAAAGCAACUAUUGAAGAAGUGUCCCAAACAAUGAGUUAAUACCUCAGAUGGUCACUCAACUAUGCAGUAUUCUCUCAGAAAGUCAUUCAAUUUUCAAUUUUCACUCAAAAGUCACUCAACUAUGCACUUCUUUCUCAGAAAGUCACUCAAUUUUGAAUUUUAACUCAAAAAUCACUCAAUCUAUUAAAUUAUUUUUUAAUUGAAAUUUGUUGAUAUUAAUUAUUUAUAUAACAAAUCAAAAAUCUUAAAAAAUAAAUUAAACCAUUUAGUGAUCCAUCAACCAAACCCGACCCAUUAAAAAAUAUGAUAUGACCCAUUUCAUUGUCUUUGAUCCUAAAUUAAUCCCUCUCUUUAAACCUUGAAUUAGGAUUAAAGACAAAAUAAAAUGGGUCAUAUCAUAUUUCUUAAUGGGUCGGGUUAGGUGGAUGGAUCACUAAAUGGUUUAAAUUGUAUUUUUAUUUUUUUAAAAUUUUGGUUUGUUAUAUAAAUAAUUAAUAUCAAUAAAUUUUAAUUAUAAAAACAAUUUAAUAGAUUGAGUGACUUUUUUAGGAAAGAGUGGAUAGUUGAGUGAUUUUGAGUUAAAAUUCAAAGUUAAGUGAUUUUCUAAGAAAGAAGUGCAUAGUUGAGUGACUUUUGAGUGAAAAUUAAAAAUUGAGUGACUUUCUGAGACAAGAGUGCAUAGUUGAGUGACUAUCUGAGGUAUUAACUCUCCAAACAAUUUGACCGCAACCUUUUGGCUAUAUAAUUUUGGUUUUAUAACUAUAUGUUUAAGAGUCAAAAGUUGGUAGUGGUAUCUAAUCAAAGAGGACAACUUGGUAAUGAUGAAAGACGUCAGCAUGAAAUUAGAUAUUACAAUUGAUAAAAAAGAGUUGUUGCAACUAGGCUAAAUAUUUGGGUGCAUGUACGAUGUUGUAUUCUUUUAUGUCAUCACCCUCCUAGUUGUUUCAAUUGCAUCACCUCCUAAAUAUUCUUAUUUUUUUUAUUGUAUUUAUAUACUUAUUAUAUAAAUUCAACCCCAAAAUUAUUGAUUGCUAAUGAAUCACAAACGUUUCUCAUUAAAGUAUUUGGAAAUAUUUAGAAAAACUCAGAUAGAGAAAUACGAGUUAAAUUAAAGUAUCAUAAGAUUGAGGAAUAUUAUUAAAUUAUUCAAUUUCUCUUGGUUCAUGUAUGAAGUUUGUUAGCCAACUUGCCUCUUAGCACUCAAUUGAAUUUGAACAAGUGUUUAAAGAUGGACAACUUUCACAUAUAGCAAACAAAAAAAUUAUAUUUGUAUAAUAUAGCAAACUUUGCAUAAUUGCGCUCCAUAGCAAACAUAAAAACUGUAUAAUUUGCUAUACAUAUAAAAGUGUAUAAUUCGCUGGCCUAUUUCGCUGCAAUUGUAUAAUUAGCUUGGCAUACAGUAGAAUCGAAUUAAAAUGUAUGUAUAUUACAUAAUUAUAAGUGUAUAGCAAGAAGAUAUAUGUUUUUCUCGCUUUAUACAAAAACAUAAACACAAUAUAUACACUUUUGUUGUAUAAAGCUAGAAAAAAAUUAUAUUUCACUGCAAUUGUAUAAUUCUUUGGCCUUUUUCUCUGCAAUAUUUGAAGUAAAAUGUUUGUAAAUUAUAUAAUUAAGUGUAUAACACGAAGAUAUACAUUUUUGCAUGUGUAUAUACAAUUUUCUCUCGCUUUAUACAAAACAGAAACAGAAAUUAUACACUUCUGUGUAUAAAGCGAGAGAGGCGAGAAUGGGAGAGUGGCGAGCGAGACUUCUGGGAGAGAGACGCCUGGCAAAUUUUUGCCAACGUUUGCUAUGGAGCACAAUUAAAUCAAACCCUAGCUAUUCCAUUUAAUUUAGGUUAUUAGUUUGCUAUUUUAUACAAUUUUCCCUUUAAAGAUAGUACAGGUUAAAAUAACUAAAUAAUAAAAUCGCAAGGAACUUAUUUGUAAGAAAUAAAAAGUAGACAGGUAGUUAAACAAUAUAUAUUGAAAUAUCAAAUACAAUAGCCCUCAGCUGCGAAGGAAGUAAUAUAUUUUUUAGAAAAUUUAGUUAACUAGUCAAAAAAAUUAACUUAUUUAGUGAUAAUAUUCAUAAUUUAAUAAUAUUAGUAAACAUGUCAAAAAUGUCAUUAUUUUAAAAAUAAAUAAUAAUUCUGAUAUUAUUAAUAUUUUCUCUCUCAUUAUUUACACCUUUUUUUCUCUCUCAUAGAUUACACAUUUUCCUAUAUUUAUGUAAUUGGAUAGAUAUUAAUGUCAUUUUAAUUUUUCUCUCUUUUCUUAAGCUUAUCAAUUACUCUCUUUUACUUUCUUCCUAAUCAAAUCUCCAGAUUUUUCUCUCUUUUCUUACGCUUCUUUUCAAUUUCUCCCUCUAACAUUCUUUCAAAUCAAUUCCACAGAUUUUCGAUUCAAUAUAUUAAUAUUUUCUAUUAUUCUCAUUUAAUUUCAUUGCAAGAUUUGAUUUGAAGAUUAACAUUGAUUUGGAUAGUAUGUUUUUCAGAUUACUUAUUUAUUUACUUACUGAUUUUAGUGUUUUUUUUAAAUUUUUUUUAAUUUUGUUGUUGUUCUUAAAACAUUUUUUAGGGUUUGAGACUACAUAAUUCUCUCUUCAAUGGACGUUUUCAAGAGAGUUACUAAAGGUAUUGGACAAAGUAAUCAAAGUUCUUUCGAUUUUUCAUCAUUUAAUUUUUUUUUCACUCAAGAAUUAAACAACAAUAUGGGUUCCACUUCUAAAUAUAAGGAGGAUAUACGACGGGAAAAAAUGUCUGAAUCCAUCGAUGUGCAAAAUCACACACAAAUUCAUAACCAUGAAGUUGAAGAAAACCAAUUUGUUGGAGAAGAGGUAUUUUUUUGUAUGUUCUGUGUCUUGCAUGUUUAGUUUAAUUUGUUUAGUAAUUUUUAAGAUUAAAAAAAUUCAUGUUACAAUGUGUUUGGAAGUGUAUAUGAAAUUUUUAUUAUGUUAUAGUUAGUAUUUAUUUUUGUAUUUCAUAUAUUUACUGUAUUUUAUGUUCUGUUUUUUUUGUGUGUUAGUUAUGUCAAUGUAACACAUUAUAUGAGUUUGACUGUGUAUAUUUCAUAGUUUUAUGGUUUUUUGUAUUCAUAGAUUUGAAAAUGUAUAUUGAAUUUUGUUGAUGCUUUAGUCGGUAUGUAUUUUUGUAUUUCAUGUUUUAUUGUAUUUUCAUAGAUUUGAAAUUGUAUUUCAUAUAUUUAAUUAAUUUUGUAUUAUUAUUUUUUUGUGAUAGUUAUGUCAAUGUACCACAGUUAGUAUUUAUUUUUGUAUUUCAUAGUUUUAUUGUUUUUUAUAUUCAUAAAUUUGAAAGUAUAUAUUGAAUUUUGAUACUGUUUUAGUUGGUAUGUAUUUUUACAAUUAAUAAUUAUAUUCAUUCAAAAAUUAUGUUGCAUUGUUUCUGAAUUUGACAUUUUUUUCUAAUUUGUAUUUGUUCUAAAGAUAUGUCAACUAGUUAUGUAUUUUAUUUAAGAAUGAUUACACCAAAUAUUCAAUUAUUUCUUUUCAAUUUUAUAUUCAUUCACUUUUUCAUCACACUAUUUUUUGUAUUUUAUAUAUUAUUAUACAAAAUUCUAAAUAAAAACUAGAAUAAAUAGAAAUACAAAUAAAAUACAUAUUGAAAUGAAUACAUACAAAUUUUUGAAGAAAAAAAUAACUAUAUAGGGAAAAAAAUAUAUGAAUACAAAUAUAUUUCUUAAAUGACUAUAUAGAUACAUUCGGCAUAUCUAUUGGAAUGAAUACAAACUAAUAAAAUAAUAAUAAUAAAUAAAUAUAAAUAGAAUAUAUUGUGGAAUGACUAUAAUUUUAAAAAAGUAAAAAUUCUGGAGACAAAAAAAGAACAAAGUUUAUAUUUUAUUUGAAAAUGUAAUUGAUGAAAAAAUUAAGUGAUCCUUAACUUUUUUGAAAUAUUUUCUCUCUUGAUUUUCUCCCUUUUGUUAUUAGAUAAUUAUAUUCUUUAAAUUAAAACAAAUAACAAAAACAUAAAUUAGAUAUAUAAUAAACUAAAAUUUGAUAUUUUUAUUAAAUAUUAAAAGUGAUGCUAAUGAGCCCUCUUAAAUAUUAAAAUAUUUACAUUUCAAAAAAUUUCCCAUAAUUUUUUCUAUAAUAAGUGGCUAACUGCAAAAUAAUACACCAAUUGGUAUAUCAAAUUAUACUACAAGAUUUAAAAUACAAACAACACAUUAUAUAAAGUAAAGUCAUAUUUCUACAAUCAUAGCAUAGACAAUGUUUUUUUUUUAAUUCAUAUAAAAUUUGGUUUAUAAAACAUUUGUAUUAAGCAAUAUCAUUUAUGAGGCAUCAUGUCAAUUGAAAAUUUAAUAUUCUCUAGGUUCCUAAUUAUUUGUUCACUUUUUUUGUGUAGUUAUUCUUAAGUAUUUGUCCAUUCUGACAAAUCAAAAAAAGAUUAAAAAAAUUACAUAUUAUAUUCUUAAUUAAUUACUUUGAAAAGGGUAGAACUUCUUGCAAUCUUAAAUUUUUAAUUCAUUCAUUUCAUAAUUAAUAUGGAUAAAAUGGUAAACUCAUUGUAUCAAUCACUGUUCUCUUAAUAGGUGUGUUAAUUCAAAAGUGGACAAAUAAUUAGGAGCCUAAAUCAAUCCAUCACAAAUUAAUAAGGAGACAGUGAGUUAUAUGAUUAAGGAUGAAGCCGCAGGGUCAUCUUAACUCCUAGAUCAUUAAAGUCAUCACUUGGGGUCUCAUAUUUUUUUUGGGUCCCAUUAUUUCAAAACAUUGUUGGUAUUUUAUAAACAGAAAUGAUAUGUACUAUGAGUAUCAUGAUUUCUACUACGGAAAUUGUAUAUGAGAUGAAUAUAGAAACUGAAUUUUGUAAGAAAUAAUUUGACGAAGAUAUUGAUUAGGUAAAAUCACAAAGUCCCUUCAAGAAUCUUUUAAAGUUUAUAUAUAUAUAUAUAUAUAUAUAUUAUUUUUUUGAACUAAAAGUGUCGAUAGAAAUAAUACAAAUAAAAGAUAAUGAUCUAAUGAAAAUACUCAAUCAAAUAAAAAGACUUGAUACUUUUCCAUAUAGACAUAUUUGCUUAUAUAAUAAUGUUGACAGUUCCUAUAACUGUUGCCUCAGUCGAAAGAAAAUUUUCAAAAAUAAAGCUGAUUAAAUCUUAUUUCAUAUCAACAAUUUGUCAAGAGAGAUUGAAAGGGUUAACUAUAUUAUCAAUUGAAAAAGAAUUACUAAAACAAAACGAUUAUAAAACAAUAAUUAAUGACUUUGCAUCUACAAAUCUAGAAAAAUAGAUUUUAAAUAAAAGUAUGUAUGAAUAGUAUUAUGAAAAAAAAUAUUAGGACCCUUCUCUUAGGCCUCCAAUCUUUUCGAGUAAGUCCUAGAUGAAGGAGUACUUAUUAAUCCACCACAAUCCUUGUUGAUAUAGUUAAGAUUAUUGCAUACAAAUAAUGACUAAAAUAUUUCUUCAUUAUUACAUAUUGUUACUUUUAUGAAAUCACUAGGGGUGUACAUAACCAGAUUAGCUUGGAUUUUUCAAAUAUUAAAUCAAAUUAUUUGUAUCGAAUUUUUAAAUUUACAAAUCAAACAAACCAAUAAAACUCGAGUUUUUCAACUUCGGAUUUUUUCGAGUUUCUUCGGAUUUUUUGAAUUUUCGGGUUUUUUCGAUAAAGUAUUCAUACAAACAUAUAAUUUACUUGUAGUUCAAACAUUUCUUUACUCCUACUAAAAUGCAACUAUCUAAGUUAUUUCUCAAGAAAGUAACACAAAAUAUGAUAUGAUUAAUGAUACUAAAAUAUCCAACGAAAAAAUAAAUAAUAAAAUCGCGUAAAACAAAUAUUGCAAAUUAAUAAGUCAUUGUGAAAUUGAUCAUAAUUUAAAGUACUAAAUUAUGCUAAAAUAAGUUUAGUAAGUAUUAGUUACAUGACUAAAUAUUAAAAGAAAGUAAAAUUAGAUCAUAUAUUUUAAUUGUCUAAAUCUAUGUAAACUAAAAAACAAAUAUUCAAUAUUAAUGUCAUUCUUAGUGUUGAAUUGAUUUUCUUUUUGCAUUAAUAUUAAUUUGAUUUUUAUUUAAACUUUAUUAUAAUUACCAACAUGUAUGGACUAUAAUCUUUAUUAGAUCAUUAAGAAUUUUAACUUCCAAACAUGAAAUAAAUAUAUUAAAAGAUAAAAACUAUGAAAAAGUAUAAGAGAUAUUUAAAAAUUAUAUCAAAGUAAGUAUUUUUACGUUUAAAAUAAAAAUUUAAAAUUAUAUAUAUAUAUAUAUAUAUAUAUAUAUAUAUUGUCGGGUUGGUUUGAUUUCGGGUUGGUUAUUUUUAGUUGAAACCAAACCAAUCCAAAUAAAGCCAAAUUUUUUCAACACUAAACCUAGUCAAAUCAAACCACUACUCGAAUUUUUUCGAUUUAACUAAAUUUGCGAUUUAAUUCGAUUUUUGGGUCGAUUUUCUACACCCUAAAUGUUAUCAUUAAUGAUUGUCCUACUCUAUUUGUCCUAAUUUAUUUGUCAUUUUAAAAAAUUUUAAGAUUCAAAUUAUGUUACUUUUGAAAAAUAUCUUGUAACAUUUUUUUUUUAACUGUCAAUAUAAAAAAAAAUUGCAACUUAUGAUUCUUUUUUCAAUGAUUUUUAUAAUUAAUUUCAAUUUUAAAGAUUAUGUUAAUCUAAUUUGAUUUAGAUUUAAAAUUUAAUAAAAUUGACUCUCGAUAAAUUGAAGGUAUCACACAAAUUAACGUAUUUGUGUUUGUUUAUCUAAUUAUUAAUAAUAGAGAUGAUUUAUUCAAGAAAACUAUAACUUUUCUAACGAGGAAUGAAAUGAGAUUAUCAAUUAUAAAAACAACUUUCCCAUGUAAUUGUAAAAAAAAAAAAAAAAGGAAUCAAAAAGGUCCGAAAGAGAAUGAACAAAAAUUUAGUGAGGUACUUUACAAAUUACUGAACAGUUAUAUUUAAUCAUGAUUACUUAAAAGACACUAUAAAAAUGCAUAAUAAGAUUUGGGAGCAGUAAGUAAGGAAAGAGAUUUACAUGAUAUUUGAGGGUUACGUUGAAUUACAAUUCAUUAUUUAGUUUAUCUUAAUUCAUUUUAUCUUCAGACAGAAUUGAGAAUUAGUCAAUUUAUUUCUUUAGUUCAUUUUUAUCUUUUCAAAUUAUCUAUUCGUGUGAAAAAAAUUAGAAUUUUGAACUUUUUUUUUAUUUCUUUCCAAUAAAAUACCAUUGAAUUUAAGUUUUUCUUCCCAUUUUUGGAACUAUUGACGAACUUCUCUCAUUGUGAGAAAAUUAUGAAAAUAAUUCAGCAAAAUAUAUUACUAAAAAACAACGCAUUGUUUAUGAGUGAAAAUCAUUUACAUCCUUCGAUUUAACUUCUUUUUUUUUUAAAAAAAAAAACUCCUUAAUUAUGAACAAUGAAACAAUCUCCCCCUUUAAUUAUGAACAAUAGAUAUCCCCUCCCUCUUUCUAACGUGUGUCUAAGAAGCCAUUUACGAAUAUAUGAGUAAUAAUGUCUUGAAACGCAGCCUACAAAAGUCUAAAACAUAGUAAAUGACAUAAAGAUAACAUAAGGGUGUUGUCCUCGAAUGCUAUGAGGACUCAUCAAUCUUCAAUCUUCUCCAAACUUAGGAACCUAGCCUACAAACACUCAAUCUCCCAAAAAACCCUACAUUUGGUUAGAAAUGUAGGCAAUAUGCGUACAAACACUCAAUCUUCCAAAAAACCCUACAUUUGGUUAGAAAUGUAGGCAAUAUGCGUUAGUACAAAAGUACUAAGUAAGAAAGCUAAUAUAUAAAACAUAAUAUAUCUCGAAGGGUUGGUCAAUAUAAGGCAUAAUCAUUAGAGAUAAUAACAUAAUCACAAGAUAAUUACGACAUACGCAUUCUAACAUAGUAAUUCAACUUAAGACAUACAUAGGUUCAUACUUCAACUAUUUGUCCUUCUUACUCAAGUGAACUACAUCACAAGCCACCUCUAAGUAUACUUGUGCAAGUCCAAGGUGGCAUCCCAUACUACUACCUAAGCUAAGUACCUCUCUUUGGUCAUUCUUGAUCAUAAUCCACUUGUAUAAUUAAUACCUAUGUCUCUAUACGGAGGCAUGCCAUACAAAUCAUUUGAAAAAACUUCAUUGAAUAUGGACACCACCGUAAUAGACCCAAUAGAUGGAGUUUCAAUCUCAACAUCCCUUACAUGAGCCAAAUAAGUUGAACAACCUUGCUCUUUUAAUUUCCUAGCUCGGAUGGAGAAUAUAAUCUUAGCUUGUUUAGGUUGUGCACCCCUUUCCACUCUAAUUUUUUCCUUCCCAAAAUUUCUAGAGUCUCAUAUUUAGUAUUUACAAUUAAAAACAACAUAAUGGGGACACAACCAAGUCAUGCCUAAGAUUAUGUCGAAGUGCUCCAUAUCAAAAAUCACCAAAUCAGCCCAAGUCUGAAAUCCCAUAAACAAAUUAGGGCAAACACAAUACACAUGUGUGACUAUGACUGACUCGCUAACAGAGGUAGAAAUACGUAUAGGGUCAUUAAUAAUAUCACCUAACAUCUCAAAAUUAGAGGCAAAUCUCACAGACACAUAAGAAUAGGUGGAAUCUGAAUCAAAUAAUACAUUAGCCAUUCGAUCCCAGACAAUAAUAGUACCUGUGAUCACUUCAUUAGACAUCUCUACCUCGUUCUUUCCCAAAAAGGCACAACAUUGAGCUCUAUCAUCAACAGGAGUCACCUCAUUGCCUAGUUGCGUGUUACCUCUACCUCCUUUAUCAUUUUCUCUACUUCCACGUCCUCUCAGAUUUCCUCCAUGUCCUACUUGUGGACGUCCCCUGCCAUUAUUAUCAUUUCUCGUGGGUACAAUUGCUCGAGAAGGUUGUUGUACAGAUUCAAGCAAACACGCUUGUGGGCAAUUCUUCAUCAUGUGUCCCAGUUCCCCACAUCUAAAUCAAGUGCGGCCGCCAGAUGGUUUGCUGCCUGCCAUAUGCUCAACACUCUGAUCAACUUAAAAAUUAUUAGAAUGAGUCCUCAAAUAGUUACCAAAAGAGGGGCAUGGCAGAUUAAAUUGGCUUGGAUGCGAAUGUAGGUCGACCGAAUCAUCUACCAUAGGAGCCUUGAAUAUUUCCAGAAUUCUUGGUCCUCUUAGCCAAUGCCUUAUCUUGACUAGAUCGUUUCACCCCCUCCGCCUUCUUAACAUAAUCAGUCAUUUCAGUGAAGCUCCUUCUCACAAAAGUUAUGUGAACGGAUGACACUUGUAGCUCAGAAUCCAAACCUUUAAUAAACAACCAGAUCCUAUCAUCUUCAGUGGUAACCAAUUGUGUAGCAUAUCUAGAUAAAGCAUGGAACUUGGCUUCAUAUGCAGCCACAUAUAUUUAAUCCUGUUCUAAUGUCAUAAACUCAUCCUUCUUGCAAUCUCUCAAAGUUCUAGCUAGGCACAUACUUCUCUAAAAGAAAGGGCAUGAAAUUUGGUCCAAGUAACUAGAGGUAAUGUAGAUGCUCAGCAUUACAUAUAAGCUCUCCACCAUUGAUUGGCUUCACCUUGAAGUUGAAAUGACACGAACUCAACCCAUGUUGGUGAGUGAUACCCAAGUAAUGAAACCUCUCAUAACAAUCCAAUAUGAACUCAUAAGCAUCUUCUGUCUCAGAACCAAAAAAUAUCGGGGGCUUGAGCUUCAAAAACUUGGUCAACAUAUCAUGCUCCUUACCGAUCAUCACAGAACCUAACAAAUGAUGGAAGAAAGCAUCAUUACCUACCUCGCCAACUGGCUUGGGCACAACGUUAGCAACAUGAUGAUUCGCUUGGACUUGAGUAGGUGUAAUCAUCUCCGAACCAUCCAACCCUUUCAAAAAUGACAUAAUUUGUUGAGCUUACGCCAGAUCAAUGGGAGGGAUUCAUGUAACUUCAGCGUGCCCUUCUUCCUCGUUUUCAACCUCCUCGACAUUCUCAAACUCAACUUCCUCUUCUAUCUCUUCGUUAUGUACCAGAGGGUUCUCAUUUACCGAAUAUAAUCGUUUGGCACCUCAUUCACAAUAGGCGCCACUCUCCCACGACCUCUUCUCUUAACUCUUUCUCUACCUCUGCCUCGACUGCGAGCUCUCAUUGCGGGUUCCUCAGUUGGAGAAUUAGAAGAAGCUACAUGACUAACGUUGUUAUACCUAGUAUUAACCAUUUGUGAUAGAAUAGUGAAGGAAUUUAUAUACUAAUCUGAAUCGCUAGAUACCAAUUGGAAUGUCAUAGAAAGAAAGAGAUAAAGAGAAAAUGGAGAUUUUGUAAAGUCCUAUAGCCUCUUCAAGAAAAGUAAAGGAGUCCUCGUACCGUUCUACAAGUCUCUAUUAGACUCGUUUCUGUACAUCGAGAUCAAAACCUAGGCUCUGAUACAACCUUUUUCACGACCCACAUCAUCGUGAUUGACAUCCAGACUACAACUCGGUGGGAGAACCACUACUAACAACCAACCAAAGCAAUAAAUCUAAAACUAAAGCACUUAAGUUACGGAAGUAAGUUAAAUAACUAAGCUAAGUUUCAUUAUUAUUUAAAGAUCUAACAACUAAUAAUAGUGCGGAAGAUAAACCUAGAAUCUAAAAGUUAAUGUACCAAAACUAGAAAUGAGAUUCAAAUCUAACAACAAUUUCUAGUGAACUAUCUAACUAACUAAAAGAAGGUCUAGUCCGAAAAUGGUGGACAUAGACUAAAGAGAAUUUCAUGGCAGCUCGAACGAUGUGGCUCACCCUUUAACUCGAAUCGAUCAUCGAUAUUCUAAGCGAGGCUGUCAAUAGUCGCGUGAAGAUGACCUGUACUCAACAAAAAUAAGAGCAAGUGCUGAAUAAAUAUACAACCACUGUGUAUUGGUAGGAUCACGCGGCUAUCCCACUAGUGUAACAUAAACAGACAAUUACAACAUUAUAACACAUGCAUAAAUAUUAAUAUUCAAUACUAUCAUAUGAAUCAACAUCAUAAUUCACAUGCUUCAUCACAUAGUUGGUCCUCUCACGUAACCCAAAGUCAAACGGUUAGCAUGCCGGAAUUGACAAUCCAAUCCAAUUUCUUAUGUUGAAACAUGUCAACCGAUCCCAAUUAUCAUGUCAGAACGUGGAAGUUCGAAUCCAGUUAGCAUGCCAGAACGUGGCAGGCGAUCCCAAUCACGCAUCAAAAUAAUACAUCAAGAUCACCCAUUCAAUCAUGAUUUCAUAGUAUCGAUAUUUAUAUAUCUUCUUUCAACAUCUAUGAGCAAUAUUGUGAUAUGCAUACAUAUACAAGUAUCACAACGAAAAAUAAGUGUAUAUUAUACAAUCAUAUAAUCACAAUCAUCACUUACCUCGAAAUAAUCUUGAAACCCUACACAACUUAAUCCUUCCCUUUUCGGAUUCGUUCCUCUUGUUUGUGGUCUACAACUAACAAUUUAUAUACGGGAGUCAAUAAAGAAACACUAAAUUCCCAGAAUACUAACAAACUAUGAGCCCUAGUUCAAAUCCAUGAUCCCAACUAGUCAAUUUAGGGUUAAUUCCACCAUAGGAUUCUUCAAGAAAUACUUCGUCAUCUAUAUUGACCCACUCUAAAACAUUUUACGAAUCGAAAGACUAAUUUAGAGGGUGAAAAACUUACCUCUAGCUCGAAGAAUGGUGAAAAACGAGUUGGAAAAGCCCAGAGAUGGUCGUCUAAGGAUUUUAUUUAUGAUUUUAAAACCUGUCAUCCCGCUACAGCGACACCCAUCCCACUGUAGCGGCGUCGCUACAACAACACCAAUUCCGCUGCAGCAACACUUUUUGAACCAAGAGCUCCGUCUUGAAAAUUUUCAAAACUCCUAUAAAUCAAUCUCCGCCUCAUCCGCUACAGCGAUAUCCACCCCGAUAUAGCGGCAACGCUGCAAUGGAAAGAAUCUCGCUGCAGCGGCACAAAGCGAGUUAUUGAGCUCCUAAGGGAUUUUCAAUUUCCGUUUUUCAUAACAUAAUCUUAACCCACCAAACUCAGAAAGUACCCUUAAUGUUACGAUCGAUUCCCAGAGGUCUAUUCGAUUUCUCAAAGUUGUACGGAUCCCCUAUCGAGUUAUCUAGCCGAUUAUGUAAUCGAAUUCCUAUUUACUCCACCAUAAUGCUAGCAGAUUUCCCUAAACCUUGAUACUCCAAUUUCUUCCAAAUCUAGACAAGGUUAGAAAAAAAUCUAGUACUACGAAAAAGUUUAUCCGACUUCGAUCCCCCCCCCCCUCCAAUUAACAUUUCUAUAACGAUGAAACGUGAUUGUUAUACUCCAAUUAAUCAGCAUUUCUCACUUUUAUUUUUGACAAAAUUUAUAUUUUUAUAGAAUUUUUAAAAACAUAUUAUUAAAUAAUAAAAAUACUAUGAUUAGAAAGUAUUAUAACAAUAAAGAUAGAUCUUGAUAAUACAAAGGUGAAAUUAAUAUUUGGAAAAUUAAUUAUGCAAGAAAGGGAAAAAUGAUUAUUUCUUAAAAUUGAGAAGAGUUUAAUUUUUAAAAGUAAAAUUCAGUUAAUGUUAUAAAAAAAUUGUAUUAUAGUGAAUGUCUAAUUAUGUGGAGUCCUUUUAGGAUAUGUUAGAAAUCCUACUUGGGGAUAAAGUUAGGUUUCCCCUAUAAAUAAAGGGGUUUUCGUUCAUUGUAAAGAAGAUCCAUGAAUCCUGAAUAUACUUCUAGAUGAAUAAGAAGUCUUUUCUCUUCUUCCUACUUUAUUCUUCUUCUAAAUUUAUAUAGUUUCAUAACACAUUAUCAACACGAUUGUUCUAUUCUUAAAGAAUUAUGAUAGAAGACAGGAAAAGUGCAAAAGAGAUCUAGCAUAAGUUAUGAAAUAAGGUUCUUAAAUAUUCAAGGUGUGAUUUAUCUAUAUGUUAUAAUUAUUUAUGUGACAGAUCGGAGUUACCAUCUGGAGUAAGUAUUUAAAGAGACUUGUGGACUUUUUAUACGUUUAAUUUUAAUCGAUUGGAAAGAGAAUUCCUUAAUUUAUUUUCAUAACUAAAUAAACACAAUUAGUGAAAGGUAGGCUUUCAAUCUUUAUGUGAGGUAUGUGAUCUAUUAAGUUAUAUUUAUUAAAUACUAAUGUUGAUUAAUAAUAAAUCAAUAAUCUCAAUUUUGUGUGUAAUUAUAAUAUACGAUCAUAUUAAUGAUCAUCAAAAGUGAUAAAAUUACAAUUAUUUUGAAGACUUGAGGUUGAGCCUCAUUGUGGGUAAGACGGUGAAUAAGUUUUAUUGCACCAAAAGAAUAAGACGAUGGAUUUACGUUCAAUCGCACCAAGAGGGUAAGACAUUGACUUAAAGUCUUGAUGCACCACAAUGAGAAGCUAUUGGGUUCAAAUUCUAUCGAUAUAUUUAUGGCCUAAGACAUUUUUUGUAUGGAUAAAACAUUGAAUUUGAGUCUUAAUGCACCAUAUUGAUGAUAUAAUAAUGACUAAAGAAAAACUAAUGUCUUUUUUAUGAGAAGUCAUGAAAUUUACUGAAUUUGCUCCAUUACUAAAGCGAAUGUGGUAGUAGUGCAUAUAUGUCUAAAAGAAGUCAAGUGACUGAAUAAUGCACAUAAAUAUGGAGUGAGGUACUAAAACUAUCAUAAAUUGAUAUGCUCACAUUUUUGUGUUCCAUUCAUAAAGAAUGAGAACUUUUGAUAAAUGUUAAAGAUAUAGAUUCAUUUUCUAAAGUGAACGAGGUGUAAGCCAAUUGAGGCACAUUCUAUACUAAUUACAAUACUGUCUUACUUUUACAUGAUUGUAUGGGACAUCAUAAGGCAAAUUAUACAUAAUUAAAAUGAACAUUCAUUAAAGAAUUUAAAUAUUCUUUUUAAUGGUGAAUUUUCUUAUAUUGUUUGUUAUCAAGGCAAGUUGAUUGUGAGACCAUCAUCAGUGAAAAUUGUGAUUGAAUCCCAUGCGUUCUUGGAACUAUACAUAGGGAUAUUUAUGGACUUAUUCACUUACCUAGUGGGUUGUUUAGAUACAUCAUGGUCCUAACAGAUGAUCCUUCUAUAUGGUCUCAUAUGUGCCUAUUGUCAUUUUGCAAUUUGGGGUUUGCAAAAUUAUUGGCACAAAUAAUAUAAUUACAUGCACAAUUUUUCGAUAAUCAGAGUAGUUCAUUCAGUGAUGGAGUCACGACUCACCUCUAGAAGGGGUAGAAUUAAUGAGAAGAAAAAAUCUAAAAAUUACUCUCGGAGUAAUAAAAUUAAAAUAUACUCAUAUAAUAGUAACUUAGAAAUUUACUAAAGCAAAAAGACACAUGACAUAGUAAAACUUGGAGUUUACGAGUACUAAUAAUUAUUAGUUGGCAUGAAUAAUUUGGUCAUCCCAAAAAUGUGCAUACUGAGUAAUAGACAUACAUUGAAGAAUUAGGAGAUUCUUCAAGAAUUCUUUUUGUUGCUUGUUCUCAUGAAAAGUUGAUAGGAUCAACUAAUGUUGGGACUAAAUCCCUAAAUUCUGGAAAGUAUAAAGAUGAAUAUGGGCUUAUUCACCUAUUAUGUGAUAUGAUAAAGAGAUACUAUGACGGCACUCAUCUCGCUGUAGCAGUGUCAAUGCAGCGACACCUUUUGAACCAAUGAGCUAUGUCUUGAAAAAUUCCAAAAAUCCUAUAAUUCAAUCUUCGCCUCGUUCGCUACAGCGACACCAAUCCUGAUGUAGCAGCGUCACUGCAGCGACACGAAGCAAGGCAGUAAGCUCCUGAGGAAUUUUCAGUUUCCAUUUUUCACAACAUACUCUUAGCCCAUUAUGCUAGAAAGUACCUUUAACGUUACAGUCAAUUUCCGGAGGUUUAUUUAUCCAAAUUCAAUUUCGUAAAGUCGUACGAAUUUCCUAUCGAGUUAUCUAAUAGAUUAUGUAAUCAAAUUCCUAUUUACUCCACCCUAUUGCUAUCAAAUUUCCCUACACCUUGAUGAGUUUAAUUUCCUCCAAAUCUGAACAAGAUUGGAAAAAUUCUAGUACCACGAAAAAGUUUUUCCGAGCUCGAUUUUCUCCCAUUUACAUUUUUAUAACGACAAAAACCAAUCUUUAUAGUCCAAUUAAUCGGCAUUUCUCACUUUUCCUUUUAACAAAAUUUAUAUGUUUUAUAGAAUUUUUAAAAAUAUAUUAUUAAAUCACAAAAAUACUAUGAUAUGAUUUUAGAAAGUAUUAUAACAAUAAAGAUAGAUGCUGACAAUACAAAGGUAGAAUAAAUAUUUGGAACGUUAAUUAAGCAAGAAAGGGAAGAAUGAUUAUUUCUUAAAAUUGAGGAUAGUUUAAAUUUUGAAGUAAAAUUAAGUGUAAAUAAAUUCAAACCCUUUUAAUAUAAUAGAUGUGAGUGUCCAAUUUUCGUGUCUUUUUUCCCCUCAUUCCAAAAUUAUCAAUAAAAUGGAAAAAUUAUUGGUUUAUUCAAGUUAUUAAAUUUUAAUAUUUUAAGUUAUCAUCCUGAAAGUAAUUUUACUUUUUGUAUGAUAAAUAAAUUGUCUAUUUUAAAUUAUUAGAUGUUAGAUUUGUAUAUGUAUAUUUAAUUUGAUUAUAAAUAAUAGAUAUUUAAAAUAAUUUCUCUCUAUAAAAUAAUUUGAUAUUAAAACUACAUUUGACACUUUUUCUUUUUCAUAAUUUGAUUAAAAAAGCAUUUUUCAAAUGAAUUAGUUAAAUAUAAAUUGUUCUUACAAAAAAUAUUUUUUAAAAAACUAUUUUAAAAAGUAUUUAUAAAAAAAUAAGCAGUUUUUAGAAGUAAUGUUAAACAGACUUUUAUAAUCAACUCUCUUUAGAAGAAAAAAAAACCUUUUAUACAUGUUUUCUUACUCUUGAACACCUCCUUCGCUCUUUCUAACAACGUCCUUAAAUAAUAUAGCAAGUCACAUUUCAUUUUUAAUUGUUUCAGUUAUACUUUUUAACUGAUGAUUCAAAGAAGUAUAGAAUUCAUCAUAAAAUAUAGCAGGGUAGUUGCUUUUCUUGUGUCUAUUACAAUUAUCAGUUCAAGGAUAGAUUAUAAAUAAACUUUAAUAAGUUGUUAAGAGUAAUAACAUUGGUAUUGAAAAAAAGUCGAGGGUAAAAACUGGAGUUUAUAUGUAGCUUUUUCUACUUUCUUGUAAUAUUUUUAAUGGUUUUGACAAAGAAGUGGGACAUGAUAUUUAAUUAAGAUAUGCUGAACUUAUAUAAAUGUUUUUUUGUCAUUGUUAGAAUAAAUUAAUGCUUUUAAAAAAAUGCUCAAAUUCAUUUUCAAACCAUUACAAGAUUCCAACUCCUAAUUCCAUAAUAGAUGUUUUCUUAAGAAGUUCAAUGAACUUACGUGGACAAGGACAAUAUUUUAAUUUGUUUCUAAUUUUUUUCUCACACUUUUUUCUUCAAAGCUUUAUUACUUAAAAUGGACAGAACAAUUAUAUAUAUAUAAGUUACUUUGUUGAGAAAAUGACAUAAAUAGUCCCUCAAUUAUAGGUCUAAAACGGUCCCUAAAUUUUAUACUUAAUGAAUUCAGUCCUUCUUCAAUUAAUUAAAAAUUUGUUAAUUUAAUUUUUUAACUAUACACUUAUCGAUUUUAUUCUCUUAACUAUAAAUUUAAAAAUUUUAAUCCUUUAAAUAUUUAAAAACUUAUUAAGUUUGAUCUUUGUCCGUUUUUAAAUAUAAAUAACUUAGGUUUUUAUAUUAACAGAAUCUACGCCUCGAGAAACUAAAUCAUUUAGCAACUUUUUCUGGUGGUUCUAUCUCCGUUACUUUUUCUUCAAAUUAACCUUAUGCGAAGAAGCUUAACCUCAACGAUUUAAAAUAAAAUUUAUGAAUAAAGAAAAUAUGAGUCAUAAUUUUAUUCAACAGAGCAUAAAAUGAAGCAUAUUAUUAUUACUAAUGACUUGAAUAUGUUAAACUUUAUUAUAAAAAGAAAAAAAUUAAUAUCCGUUAAAUCCAAAGUUUGUACUCCAACGAUUUCAUUGAACUAGAUUUGUUUAAAUUUUUCAGAAAUGAUAAUUUAUAAAAUGAUAGAUUUUAUUUUUUAGAAUAUUUUUUUAAAUAGAUCAAUUUUAUUAUUCAAUUCCUUUUAUUUUACAUAAAGAAAUUAGAGUAAAUUACAUAAAAUUCGGACUGAUUAGCAUAAUGCAUGAUGAGUUUCUCGAACAAAACUAUCAAAGUUUAGGAUGGUGCGUACUAAAAACCAAAGAUAUUUGUAUUUUAAAAAAUGGACAAAAAUCAAACUAUUGUGAAUAUUUAAAAAAUUAAAAUCGGUAAACUUAUAGUUAAGAAAUUAAAAUUGAUAAGUGUAUAGUUAACAGAUCAUUUUUAGAUCUACUCAUAUAGUUAAGGGACUAUUUAUGUCAUUUACUCUUACUGUCUUUAUUUUAAUUUAUGCACUCAUCAAUUUAAUAUAAUUUUUUCAUAUUAUAAAUUUUUAAUUAUUUUAAUUUAUAUUAUAUUUAUAUAAUUUUUAAAUAAUAUAUAUUAUUUCCUUUGUACAAUUUAUAUAACAGCAAUAAAAUUUCAAGAACUAACCAAAAAUCAUAUUUGAAAUAGUUCAAAUUGUUAACUAUUACAAUUUUUAUAUUAGUUUUUGUAUUAUUUUCAAAUAAUAUAUGUUACUUUUUAUCAUUCAAUUUUAGAUAAUAAAACUUUGAAAGUUAAUUGUUUUUUUCUCUCAAAUAUUUUAAAUUAUUAAUUUAUAAUUUUUUUUGUAUAUUUUUCAAUUUAAUCGUAAGACUUAUAAAAAUAUAAACAAACUAAAACAAAAAUAUAUAAAAUUUCCAUAAAUACCAUCGACUAGAGAUUUGAGCUUCUAGACUCUUCUAUCUAGUAGUACCCUCUAUCUUGUUCAUUUUUAUUUGUCAUAUUGCGUUUUUUGAAAAUGAACUCACUAAUUUUUAAAAUUAAAUUAUAUUACAAUAAUUCAAUAUUUUAUGCAAAAACUUUAAAUGUUCAAAAAUGAUACAUAAAAUACUAUAAAUUAAAAUUUUUUGCAGAUCAAUAUGAUAAAAAAAAAUACAUUACAAAAUGUUAGUCAAUUUUUUUAUUGCUAUAAUAAAGAAAAGGAAAGUAUGACAAUUAAGAAAGAACAAAGAUAAUAUUAAAACAAAGUACUCCAUAAAAGAAAGUAUGACAAUUAAGAAUGAACAAAGAUAAUAUUAAAACAAAGUACUCCAUAUAUAUAUAUAUAUAUAUAUAUAUAUAUAUAUAUAUAUAUAUAGUUAAAAUACAUGCACCAAACAUUAUAAGGUAAAUCCAAGAUUUAGAAAAGCAUAAACAACAGCACAAGACAACAAACACUAAUACUAUUACAAUUGCAUGCUAAGGCACGCAACUUAUUAUUAUUAUCAUCAUAUGUACUCUCUAAUCUCUAUUACUACUAUUACUACUACUACACCCAAAAGCUAAUUAAUAAACUACUCAGCCAUAAAAUACUCCCGAAAUAACACUUUGAUCAUGUUCAGUAGAACUGAUGAUGAGUUGAAGCAAAGUCCUCCAUCAGAAAAACAUUAAGAGGAUCAGAAUCGACGAUCCCUGAAAAUUGAUCAGAUGGCUCCAAUUCCAGGAACGAUUCCAAAUUGGAAAUCUGUUCCUUCAGUUCAUAAUCUUCACUAACUAUGGGCAUUUCCAUGGGGUAGUAGGGAGUUUGGCUCUGAUACUGGACAUCAUAUCCAAAGUUCAUCAAAGGAGAGUUGUCAGAACUCUC
rnacentral:lncRNA from 1 species